GGCUUCAGCGACCCGUGGCUCUUGGCUUCGAACAGGAAAAAGUGAGGAGGAGCCGAUUCGCGCCUCUGACAGUGGAGACAGACGUCGGCCUGGAUAUAAACACAUACCUGUCGACACUAUGCCCCCGAGGAUAAGCGACUCGCCUGCCUGGUGUUUUCUGAGCCGGCGCUGCAGCAGCAAGACACUCUGCCGCCUGGCGGCGCAACUGCCAACAAGACACUCUGGCCUGGCGGCGCAACUGCCACCCUGCAGUGCAACCGAACACUGGGUGUUGCUGUGCUGCGGUGUAGUCUGGUGCACCGGUAGCUAGACUGUGUCGUAGUGCGAGCGAUGGGAGUUCAGACUGUUUCGUAGUGCGAGCGAUGGGAGUUACACUGUGCCGCAGUGUGUCGCGGGCGGCCCGGACGAUCCGGCCUGUUGAGGAUUAUGUCGCGAGACCGGGACCUGCACCGACCAAUACACGCGUGGACUGAG